AAAGGGACCCUCUGCUCGCAUCCCGCCCGCGCGCCCGCCCGUCCACCCGCCCGGGAGAGCCGCCGCCGCCGCCGCCUCCCAGCUCAGAGGGAUCCCGCCGGACCUGCCCCUUCCACUGCGGCUCACUCUGCCCUGCCUGGCGCCGGUCCUGGAUCGCCGGCUUCCUAUUUAUACCGGACUGGGCUCCUUUCGACUCACUUUACCAUCCCGUUCCAGGCUGGCGACUUCGCUGCUGAGCUGAAACUGCUAAUUUCUGUGACCAGCUUUUUUCUUAGCUGUGAUCUGGAUGAGUGAGUAGCUGUCUCACAGAGAUGACAAAAAUAAACUCUAAUCCCCCCCAAAA